rnacentral:misc_RNA from 1 species
CUGGGUUUACAACCCCCAAACCACUGUGAACUGUACCUUACGUUGCCUCGGCGGCGUCUCGUAGCCACUCGGCUCGGGGCACGCCGGCGGCCUAGCACACUGUGUCUCCAAGCGUUGGCAUCUCUGAAAUUUAUGAAAAUAAGUCA